ensembl:lncRNA
GCAGCCUCCCCUGAUCCCAAAGGCCAAGUUCAGCUCCUCCUCUAACCUGAUCGAUCACAACUCUCGACGUGGCCAUUCUUGUGAUCUCUUCAGUAAUCUGGUACAGGUGUCUCUCGCAGAGCUUAGGGCAUGAGCUCUGUUAGGGCAGGAACCUUGACUCUGGAUUUCGACACACUUCCUGGCCCAGACUAGGUGACAAGCAAAUGUUGACCCAGUGGAAGAAUGGAUAUGCCAGUUGCAUUGAACACCAUCCACCAGCCUCUCAGUCAUCACAGACUUUGGGCACAAAAGAAAGCCCAGCUCCUGGAUUCUGCCAGGGCAAGGAGCAGACCCACUUCCUGCAACAACUCCAAGGCUUACCACUGGAUAAUAGGAGAAUAGAGCACAGGGAGAGGAAAAGAAAAGCUACUGCUUUUCAAGAACCAGGAGGCAGAAGAAGGGGAGGGGGUGCAGGCGAGAGAACUGCCCAGGCACACAUGCAGGACCAGGGCAAGUGGAGACAUUCCUUCACACGCACUGCGGCAGAGAACCCUCAGGAACUCCGGACUCCCCCAUGCUCCCCUGGGACCAUCAGACCAAGCCCUACCCUCCACAGGCCCGAAACCACCACAGGAGACAAGCAAGAGGACACUUAACCUCCG